GAGCCCCACACGAGGCACCAAUACCCUCAGAUCCUGUAACCAAUCCUUCAAACCUCUAACAAUCUCAUCCAUCCACACAUCAUUUCCGCCAUCAGAAAGAUGCAUACUAUCAGCCCGAAACAGGGCUCUAUCACUGAAGGUAAUACCAGGGUGGUGAAUCACUAUGCCACCCAGCACCAACACCUUGUUUGACACCUCAGGGUCAACAUGCUUCCUGGUUGUGUUGGUGGCAGCUGGGCAUGAACAAUUGUGCCAAACCUGACGCACCAGGAACUGUGACCAAAAUAUUGUGGUAUCUGGGAGCACUGCUGCCAGCUCCUCCAAGUCCUUCUUAAUGCAAGUCCUCAAGUCCAUGCCCUUCAGCAGUGGCAAGUCAUUUUCACCCAGCUGCACAACCAGAAGGCGGGCCCCAAGUGGUCACCUGAGCCUUCACCAGUGGUAAAACUUCUUUCCAGUGCAUCCCACAUCUGGACACCCAGGAAACCUUGACUUGAGCAGGUAAGCCGAGCUGGCACCCAAAGCCAGUCUCCACUGCUCGCACACUGGCCCAGUGCACGAUGCUGUGACCCACGAUCCACACAUGCAACUCUGGCAACACUGAAAAAAAGGAAAAGACAAAAUAUGUUAGGAGGUGGACAACAUGCUACUUGCUUUUCUGGAUGUAUCCCUUAUAGGCAUUGGACUUCCACCAGCCCAAGUUUUUUAUCCUGUCCACUGAAAGGCCCCAAUGAACUGCCGUAAUAGCGGCGCCAAUCCUGAAAGAAUGGGCAGCAAAUUCCAAUGCUGGCAAGCCACAGGCCCCCUUACCCCUUUGGUCCAUUUUGGACCGACUAUCCUGGACCACCAAUUCCGCCUCUCCCAAAGAUAUGUCCUCUAAGUGCAGACCCAUAGGAACUCCCCCACAGACCUCCUCAAAAACAACCUCACCCAUUCUAUUGCGAUAGAAUAAUUGGAAGAGAACAACCGUGCCUCAUACCGGGACCAGCAAACAGAUCUUAGCUUUUUGUGAAUUUUACAUAAUAGGUCAAAGGUGACAGGCCUGCGGCCAACACCAGAAGAUGGUUGAAGUCUACGCCAGCCCUCCAGAGCCUUCCGGAGCACAAAAGCUGCACACAGAUCAUGGGCAAACAGGGGUUUGCUAAAAAAAGAAAUGGCAGCAGACUGGAUUUUAAGAGUCUUAGCUGCAUGCCAAAGCUAAUAUAAGUGUGCUAUGUAUUGUGAAACCUGAUCUGUAGAAGAGGGUUGAUCUACAGCAAUAGAUAAAUUCUGCACACGGAACGUUAUAAAAUCAGCCCAGGUUUUCUUGUAAGAUUUAAAUGUGGAGGGGGCCAAGGAAGAGACUACUCCCUGCAUAACUAUGCACUUCCAAGGCUCCAUAGGUACACCAGAAAAGGCUCCGGCAACUGCUGUGCAUCCAGUGCCAAAGAUCUGAAGUGGUCCAUGUGAAAGGGAGACAGAGAAGCCAGGUGAAUCCCCAGAAAUGUGCCACCACCUUUUAUAUGCCCCCACAAUCACACCACCAAUCUCUGAUUGGCCAAUAGGCCAUGGUGUGAUUGUGGGGCCAUUGUGUGGGCUGGGCUCAAUCUCCCACCUCCUCAAGGAUAGUAGAGGGGACACACCUUGGGCCUGCAUGCAAGGCAGACCCUCAGUUAGGAAGAACCCAUUUAUCUAGCAAUAAGCCAAAAUGAAUUCAGUCGAGCUUAUUUUGAGCAAACAUUAUUUCGAUUGCAGAAAAAAGUGACCAGAUCAGAUUAAUUUUAUUUCUAUCAAAUCAUCAGAUUACCACACAUCAUAUAUAUAUAUAUAUAUAUAUAUAUAUAUAUAUAUGAAAAAAGUAUUUGAUCCCCUGCUAAAUUUAAUGGUAGGUUUAUUGUAGCUGUGAGAGACAGAAUAACAACAAGUAAACCCCCAGAAACCCAGAAGACAAAAGUCAGAGAUUGAUUGACUUUUUAAAUACCAUAAUCAACUCAUCGUGGAAUAUGUGCAUAUACAUAUACAUAUCUACACACACACACACACACACACACACACACAAAUAUACAUGCCGAUACACACAUGCAUGCAUAUAUACAUAAAUACACACAUACAUACACAUGGAACCAAGCAAUUCCUUGCCGUGCCUAUGUGGCUACAUAAUUUGUUCCAGAUAUAUAAGGUAUUUUGCAAACAUGAAGUUCAUCUAGUCCAACCCCCUGCAAUGUGGGAUUAUGUUGUUGCCCCCUGCAGGAGAUGAACCUGCAAACUUGGCAUUAUCAGCACACUGCUCUAACCACUGAACCAUCCACAGUCUUCAUGAGCUAACUUUAUGGUUGAUACCCUUACAGUGUAGGGAAGUGUUGCUGCCCCCUGAAGGAAAUGAACCUGCAAACCUGGCAUCAUGGGCAUAGAAUUGAGAGUAUAUGACACACAGGGUUUUCUCGGAUGAAGAGCUGCAACAACGUGACUAAAGUAAAGAGCUGUGGGAGCUUUAAGGCUGCCACACUUUGCUCUCUGGGAAGAAGGGCGGCUCAUACUUGCCUCAGACACAUGGGCCAAUGACCCCCUCAAAAUGGCAUUGGUGUGAGAAUGGGAUAGUGACACAGAAAGGGAAGGAUACUGGAUGCGCUUCUUCCCACAGAAGCGGCAUAUGGAGGAAGAAGGUGGCAACAGCCGUGGCUAAGCGAAGAUCACAGGUAAAAUACUCAAAAAGGCUGCAUCGCUCUGGCAAGGCACCACAAGGGGGAUCCUUCAAUGAGGCCUCUAGAUGGUUGAUGCUGGCUAGGGAGGCACUGGCAGUGGGCCGAAAACGGGUGUUCCUAACUGGUGCUCCAAAGGACCGAUGCCUCCACAGGUGGGCUAAAGAUCAAGAAGGGAUCUAGAUCUGAUGCUCCUGAUGCUCCUGAUGCUCUGGGCCAACUGUGCUGCCAGUGUCAGCUCUGGGACCCUUUUAUGCUUCUGGAGCAGGCUGCUGCAGAUAGGCGGAAUGUGAAUCGGGUUUGGUGGGAACCAUUAAGUACUGUGGCGGCCAGGACAGCCGAGCAACGGUUGGCAGAACAGUGUGACUUCAGGAGGACGAGGAAGUCGUGCCCUGUGCUGCAAACACCGCCCACUUCAGGACCAUGUGAGCAUCUAUUUUCAUAUAACAUGCACUAAAUUUAAAAUAUACUUUCCCAAGCUCUAUUCUUUGCAAUAGGCCCAAUACACAUCUUUUUACGAAGCACUAUUACUAUUUUUAAUAAUAAAUGCAUUUUUAUUCACUCUUAACCUGAGUACAUUCUGAACAACAGGAGAUGGGCUGGAAGAGGAGGGCAUCACUCAAAAGU